CCCCUACUCGCCCCCCCCAUUCUGAGGCUCAGCCCUCCUCCGCGCCCACCAUCUCGAGGCUCCCGGACUGUAAGGGACCCCUGCAGUCCCCAGAGCUGAGGCCGGCGGGGGCAGAGACUAUGAGGCAAGCAGCCCAUCGACCCAGGCCUCCUUAGGACCAGCCUGCAGCCCAGCAAGCAGAAGAGAGCAGCAGAGAGGGAAGCAGGAGAUAAAGGACCACAGCGGACCAGUGGGGAUCCCCCCCAGCAGCACCUGAGGACCCUAGCCAGGCAGAGGGGUCGUGACGGAUGGCCAGACUCACAGAAGAUGACAGACACACAGCCACACCAAUGCACACAGCUGCACAGCACUGACAUACUCGGAUACAACCAGUGACAGCAUCACACACUGCCACAGCCCUGCAAUACAGACACCCACACGCACACAGAAACAACUGGUAACUCUGAAACAGGCAGACAGUGACACACAGCACCACUCCCCUCAACACACAUAAGUGGGGACACCCACCCUCCAGACACACACAAGCCAGCCUUGACCUGCAGGGACAGACCUGGAGACAUACGCACCCCCUCACCCAGGCACUGCUGUCCGUGGCCUCUGCACACCCUCCCUGCCCCCACGGGGACACCCUCGCUGCUUCACAUACUCGCACACGCAUACAGCCACCAGCAAACAUAGCUCACAUACCCCCGGCACCAGCUCCGGCAGCCCCGACGCCUUCUGCAGCCUCCUUUGUGGGAGGGGAAGAGCUCAGCCAGCCUUGGAUGGAGCCUCGGUGAAGCCAAGCGCUCAGAGGGGAGAGGGGCUGGCCUGGCAUGACCCUUGCCAGCCCCCUCAGUUGGCUGGGUGAUGUUCCCCAGUCUGGGUUCUGGGGCCCCUUGGCAACACCAUGGAGCAACUGACAACCCUCCCACGGCCUGGGGACCCCGGAGCCAUGGAGCCAUGGGCACUGCCUGUCUGGCAGAGCUGGACUCCGGGCCAGGGGGGCGAACCUGGGGAUAUAUCCCCAAACGUUGCUGAUACUCCUCCGGCAGCUCUGCAGGUUAGAGAACUGAGGCUUGAGGAGAGCUUCAAGCCCAAAGGAGCCUGGAGCUCCGGGCCGAUGGGGGCCAUUGACCCUGAAGGAGCAAAGGCUGGGCUGCCCGGCCUGGGACAGCAAGCAGCAAGCUCUGGACCUGGCUGCCCGAGGCUGGAGGAUGAGGAGGUGGAGCCUUUCCCUAAGGCCAAGCUGAACAUGGGCUUCGGGGACAGGCCCAAUCCGGAGCUGCUGAGGGCCCUGGGGGAGCUGCAGCAGCGCUGUGCCAUCCUUAAGGAGGAAAACCAGAUGCUGAGGAAGAGCAGCUUCCCUGAGACGGAGGAGAAGGUGAGGAGGCUGAAGCGGAAGAAUGCAGAGCUGGCGGUCAUUGCCAAGCGCCUGGAGGAGAGGGCUCAGAAGCUGCAGGAAACGAACCUGAGGGUGGUGAGUGCCCCGGUGCCCCGGCCGGGGGCCACCUUGGAGUUGUGCCGGAAGGCUCUAGCCCGCCAGCGAGCCCGGGACCUCAGCGAGACAGCCAGUGCACUGCUGGCCAAGGACAAGCAGAUUGCCGCCUUGCAGCGGGAGUGCAGGGAGCUGCAGGCCAGGCUCACCCUGGUGGGCAAGGAGGGUCCCCAGUGGCUCCACGUGCGGGACUUCGACCGGCUGCUUCGAGAGUCCCAGCGGGAGGUGCUGCGGCUGCAGCGGCAGAUCGCCCUGCGCAACCAGCAGGAGCCGUCCCCGCCGUCCCGGCCCCUGGGCUCUGCUGCCGGGGCCAGAGCAGGGGCGCCGGCUCCUGGGGCUCCUGGAGAGGCCACGACCCAGGAGUAUGUGGACAACCCACCUGUGGUUCUAGGGGAACCAGAGAAACAGCAGAGAGUGCAGCAGCUGGAAUCUGAGCUCAGCAAGAAGCGGAAGAAAUGUGAGAGUCUAGAGCACGAAGCCCGGAAAAAGCAGAGGCGAUGUGAGGAGCUGGAACUGCAGCUGAGAGAAGCCCAGAAUGAGAAUGCCCGCCUGGUGGAGGAGAACUCUCGGCUCAGUGGGAGAGCCACGGAGAAGGAGCAGGUGGAGUGGGAGAAUGCAGAGCUGAAGGGCCAGCUUCUGGGGGUGACGCAGGAGAGGGACUUAGCCCUUCGCAAGAGCCAGGGCCUGCAGAGCAAGCUGGAGAGCCUGGAGCAGGUGCUCAAGCACAUGCGGGAGGUGGCCCAGCGGCGGCAGCAGCUGGAGGUGGAACAUGAGCAGGCUCGGCUCAGCCUGCGGGAGAAGCAGGAGGAGGUCCGGAGGCUGCAGCAGGCCCAGGCGGAAGCCAGGAGGGAGCAUGAAGGGGCCGUGCAGCUGCUGGAGUCUACCUUGGAUUCCAUGCAGGCCCGGGUCCGAGAGCUUGAGGAGCAGUGCCGCAGCCAAACCGAGCGCUUCAGCCUCCUGGCACAGGAGCUCCAGGCCUUCCGCCUGCACCCUGGCCCCUUGGAUCUGCUCACCUCUGCCCUGGACUGUGGGGCCCCUGGGGACCACCCGCCACCCCCCUGUUGCUGCUCCACCCCACAGCCCUGCCGAGGGUCCGGCCCCAAAGACCUUGACCUCCCGCCGGGCUCCCCAGGACGCUGCACCCCAAAGUCCUCUGAGCCUGCCCCUGCCAGCCUUGCUGGGGUCCCUCGAAGGAUGGCCAAGAAGGCAGAGUCCCUCUCCAACUCCUCGCGCUCUGAGUCCAUCCACAACAGCCCCAAGUCAUGCCCGACUCCUGAGGUGGACACAGCCAGUGAGGUGGAGGAGCUGGAGGCGGACAGCGUCUCCCUGCUCCCAGCAGCGCCGGAGGGCAGCCGGGGAGGAGCCAGGAUCCAGGUCUUCCUAGCGCGCUAUAGCUACAACCCCUUCGAGGGCCCCAAUGAGAAUCCGGAGGCAGAGCUUCCGCUGACGGCUGGCGAGUACAUCUACAUCUACGGCAACAUGGACGAGGAUGGCUUUUUCGAAGGGGAGCUCAUGGAUGGCCGAAGGGGCCUGGUCCCUUCCAAUUUCGUAGAGCGGGUGUCCGAUGACGACCUCCUGACCUCCCUCCCUGCGGAGCUGGCUGAUCUGUCCCACAGCUCAGGCCCUGAGCUCAGCUUCCUGAGCGGAGGUGGGGGUGGCAGCAGCAGCGGGGCCCAGAGCAGCGGGGGACGCAGCCAGCCCAGACUGGAGGAGGAGGAUGCAGGGGGCGAGCUCAGUCUGAGUCCCCCACUGGAGGGCCUGGGCGAGCCUCCUGUGGUGCCUUACCCCCGCCGCCUGGUGGUCCUCAAGCAGCUGGCGCACAGCGUGGUGCUGGCCUGGGAGCCGCCUCCUGAGCGAGUGGAACUACACGGCUUCCACAUCUGCGUGAACGGGGAGCUACGUCAAGCCCUGGGGCCCGGGGCGGCCCCCAAGGCUGUGCUUGAGAACCUGGACCUGCAGGCCGGACCCCUCCAUGUCUCUGUGCAGGCCCUGACCAGCCGGGGCAGCUCCGACCCUCUGCGCUGCUGCUUGGCGGUGGGUGCUCGGGCCGGACUGGUACCUGGCCAGCUGCGGGUCCACCGGUUGACAGCCACAUCUGCUGAGAUCACCUGGGUGCCCGGCAAUAGCAACUUGGCCCAUGCCAUCUACCUCAAUGGGGAAGAGUGCCCACCUGCCCGCCCCAGCACCUACUGGGCCACCUUCUGCCACCUACGGCCUGGCACACCCUAUCAGGCCCGAGUGGAGGCUCAGCUCCCGCCCCGAGGGCCCUGGGAGCCAGGCUGGGAGCGGCCAGAGCAGCGGGCUGCCACCCUGCAGUUCACCACACUCCCAGCAGGCCCACCCGAUGCCCCCCUGGAUGUGCAGAUUGAGCCAGGGCCCUCCUCUGGAAUCCUGAUCAUCAGUUGGCUCCCAGUCACCAUCGAUGCGGCCGGCACCUCCAACGGUGUCCGUGUCACAGGCUACGCCAUCUAUGCUGAUGGGCAGAAGAUCAUGGAGGUGGCCUCACCCACGGCAGGCAGCGUGCUGGUGGAGUUGUCCCAGCUGCAGCUGCUGCACGUGUGCCGAGAGGUGGCUGUGCGCACGAUGUCGCCCCAUGGCGAGUCAGCCGACUCCAUCCCGGCUCCUGUCGCUCCAGCCCUGGGGACUCCGGCCUGCCUGCCAGCCGGGGUCUCCUGCCCCUCACCACGAGCAAGCCCAGAGGCCAGACCACCCCUUGCUGCUGCCUCCCCCGGGCCUGGGGACCCCAGCUCUCCUCCCCAGCGCCCUGUCCCCCACGGAACUCAAGAGCCCCUAGAGGCUUCCCCAGCAAGCCCUCCAAGAGAGACGCCGAAAGGGUCCCAAGAGGAACCUCCAGCACCUUGUGCCCAGGAGGAGGCGGGGGCAGCUGUGUUGGGCGCCUCGGAGGAGAGGAGGGCCAGCGAGCCAGCCCAGGGCGAGGGGGCCCCUGGCCCUGCAGCUCCCUCACUGGCCGAGCAGGAGGUCGAGUGGACUUCGGGAGAGGCCCGCCCGGCACCCUGCUCCACUCAGGCAGGGGUGGCCCAGCAGGUGCCGAGCCCUGAGGCAUGCCGAGGAGGAGACACGGGGUCUGGGCUGAGGCCCAAGGGUGAGAAGGAGGACGCUGCAGAGCUCGGGGUUCGUCUGGUGAACUCCCUUGUGGACCACGGCCGCAACUCAGACCUCUCAGACAUCCAGGAGGAGGAGGAGGAAGAGGAGGAAGAAGAUGAGCAGGGUUCCAGGACUUGCUCCUUCCAGAAGCAGGUCGCUGGCAACAGCAUCAGGGAGAACGGGGCCAAGCCCCCGUCCCAGCCUGACCCCUUUUGUGAGACUGACAGCGACGAGGAGAUCUUGGAGCAGAUCCUGGAGCUGCCCCUCCAGCAGUUCUGCAGGAAGAAGCUUUUUAGCAUCCCCGAGGAAGAGGAGGAGGAAGAGGAGGAGAAGCCGGGGGCAGGCUGUUCUUCCCGAGACCCUGGCCUACCUGAACCUGCGUCGCUGGGGCUGGGCUAUGACGGUGGCCAACCCCGAGGACCUGGCCAGUGUCCCUUGUCUCCUGAGCCAUGCAGGGCUGGGGACCACCUGGAGGACAUGCCUGGACUAGUUGGUGGAAGCAGCCGGAGGAGAGGAGGGGGCUCCCCUGAGAAGCCCUCAAGCCGCAGGCGGCCUCCAGAUCCCCGGGAACACUGCAGCCGGCUCCUCAGCAACGGCGGGCCCCAGGCCUCUGCACGACCAGGCCCCGCACGGGAGAGGGGUGGCCUCCCCGUGGUGGAGGGCACCAGGGGUGGACCAGAGGCUGGUGGGAGAGGGCGGUCGGGCUCUUCUCGGAGGUGCCCCCGUGGCCAGGCCCUGGAGUCCGGCCUGGCCAGCUGCCUCUCCCCCAAGUGCCUGGAAAUCAGCAUCGAAUACGAUUCGGAGGACGAGCAGGAGGCGGGCAGCGGGGGUGUCAGCAUCACCAGCUCCUGCUACCAUGGAGAUGGGGAGGCCUGGGGCACAGCACCUGUAGGGAAGUCCAGGGGGCCUGUGAAGGUCAAUUCAGGCCCCAACCCCUACCCACGCCUCACGGCCUGGGAGAAAGGGGAGCCAGAGCGGAGAGGCCGCAGUGCGACUGGCAGAGCCAAGGAGCCACCCUCCCGGCCAGCAGAGACUGGAGAGCCCAGAGGGCAGGACAGCUCUGGGCGGAGGGGCCCCCAGAGGAGAGGGGCCCGAGCCCCCAGACCAGGCACCACCGAGCUAGCCCCUCCAAGGAGCCCCCCGGAAGCACUGGCUUACCAGGACCUACCUGUCAGGGUCUUCGUGGCGCUGUUUGACUAUGACCCCGUGUCAAUGUCGCCCAACCCUGAUGCUGGAGAAGAAGAGCUUCCCUUCCGGGAGGGUCAGAUCCUGAAGGUGUUUGGGGACAAGGAUGCCGAUGGCUUCUACCGGGGCGAAGGUGGGGGCCGGACAGGCUACAUCCCCUGCAAUAUGGUGGCUGAGGUGGCUGUGGACAGUCCCGCGGGGAGACAGCAGCUGUUCCAGCGGGGUUACUUGUCUCCAGAUGUUCUCGUUGAGGGCUCAGGGAACGGUCCCUUUGUGUACUCCACAGCCCGCACAACUGGGCCUCCUCCCAAGCCCCGCCGCGCCAAGAAAGCCGAGUCGGAAGGCCCCGCUCAGCCCUGUGCAGGGCCCCCCAAGCCGCACCCCUAUGCUGACCUGAAAGCUCCCCGCUCCAUGGUGGCUGCGUUUGACUACAACCCCCAGGAGAGCUCGCCCAACAUGGACGUGGAGGCAGAGCUGCCCUUCCGGGCAGGGGACGUCAUCACUGUGUUUGGGGCCAUGGACGACGACGGUUUCUACUACGGGGAAUUGAAUGGACAGAGGGGCCUGGUUCCAUCCAACUUCCUGGAGGGCCCUGGGCCUGAGGCAGGCAGCCUGGACAGGGAGCCCAGGACACCCCAGGCUGACAGCCAGAGAACGAGGAGGAGAAGAGUCCAAUGCUAGAUGGAGAUAGAUAUAUGUAGAGAGAGCAACAUGUAAGUGGGGGGACUGGCCCCCUCUGUCCCAUGUGACCCCCCCACUCCCAUGUGACCCUAUCAGACGGCACUCCUUUAUCUCACGUGCUGGAGCUGACCUAGCUUUUCCACCUUCCAGGGAAUGGGGAGGGAGAUCCUGCCACCAGCCAGAUUUGCAUAGAGGAUCGUCCCUCCCCCUCCCUGCUCCCCUUGCCUUGCCUUUACCCUGGGCAGUGCCAGCUGUCAUAGGAUUACAUGUCAUCUUUGUAUGUGAUGUCCCAUAUUAGCUGGCACCCCCUAUCCUAUAACACGUGCGGCUUAGAGAACGUUGUGUGACAUCCAUUUUAUGACUCAUCAGUGGUAUUAUGAUACUACAUGACUGUGGUAUUAUAACAUUGUGAUUGUUAUUGGUGACAGGAUGACAUUGUAAUGCUGCCAGUAUUAAUAGGCUCCCCACCCUUGUCCUCUGCAUCAUGACCUGUUAGGAUGAUCAGGUGCAUGAUUUUACUUCCAACUCCCAAUUUCUCUGCUGGGGGUAAAAGUGGGACCUUGAUUAGUUAAAAUCCAUAGAUAACUCAAAACCUCUCUUUUCUGGGCUCAGAAACCCCUCCUUUUGUUUCCCCAACACCUCUCUUCCUGGGAUGUUGUGGAAGGAGCCCUGGCCAUCAGCUCUGGCUGGUUGACAGUAGUAGCUUUGAUCUCUGGGUCCAGCAGAAGUCUUUGCCUGCCACAACACUGGGGCCUUGGAGGGGAGGGCUGGGGCCGUAGCUGUUUCCUGGCUUUGGUCUUGGCCGGGAGCCUGCCGGCUCUGGACAGCAAGUGGGGUUUGAGGAAGGGAGGGGGAGGGGAAGACGGCCAUGCCAGGUGCAGCAGGUGAGGGCGGGGGUGUGGGAAUAUAGGUGGGGGAGGCUUUCUGGUGGCUCCUCUGAUCACCCAACUCCCUGUCCUUACUACUAAGGAGCACUGCCUGGGGGGCCUGAGGCAGAGGGAGUGGAGGGUUGCCGGUGGAGGAGAUUCAGCAAGGGAGGACAUGCUACAGGGAGGGAGGGGUGGCUUGGUGGGGGGCGCUGAGUGAUGGGCAGCUGUGAGUCCCCGGCAGGCCUGCAUGCAGUCCUCUCAGAGGCCCUCAGAGGAGAGUCCAGAUCUCUGUCCCGCAGAGUGGACACCGGCUCCACUCCCUGGAGGCCCGGGGCCCUGCCCCUGCUGGCCUGGUGAGCAUGCUCCUUCCGACUAUGAGUGCUGUAGGAACUGCCUUCUCUGGAGGGGACAGUUGCUUCUAAGCAGCCCUUGUCCUUGCUCUCCCUUUGUUGGGAGGGGGACGACAUGUGAGAAGCUGAGGGCGCCCGCCCUGACGGGGAGGUCUGGAGAACUCUUGAGCUCUGUCAGCCCAGCACCCUGCAGGGAGAAGGGAAGGGGCUUGUCCUGAUUCUCAGGACUGGGUCAGCACAACACCAGGGCCCCUGGCGCCCCCAGGCUGGCCCUGUGCCCCCAGCCCUGGCAGCCUCCCCAGGAUGGGACUGGGGCAGCCACAGCGCACAAGCGGGAAGGUGCAGGGUCUCCUUUCCAAGGGGAAGCAGCUCCUCAGGAAGCUGGGCUCUGGGAAGAAGGAGUGACGCUGUGGCCCAUCCCAUGGGCAGAAGCGGCCCCCCGAGGCCAGCAGAGGCCCUUGGAUGACUGUCCCUGCUGUUCUGCUGAGUUAACACUGUGGCGCCUGGAUGGGAAUCGAAGAGUCUUGGUGACGACGGUCAGAGCUAGAUGGGUCCUUCGUGAUGAACCCUCUGGGUGGGCGCCUGCCUCUUCCAGGAGGGAAAACCGAGCCCCGCAGUGAGUGAGGAACUUGGCCAAGGUCUGGACCCAGGCUCCUGCCUCCUUGUCCACCACCCCGUCUCCUCCGGGCUCCCACAGCAUCUUGCUAGUUCCUUCUUCAGCCCUCUCACUCCCAGGACUGGGCCCUGGGGGGAGAAAGGGGCCUGUCCCCUCUGAUGGCUCUGCCUGUCCCUAUCACGUCUUCCUCCCCUGAAGGAAAGUUUGCACUGGAUUGCCCUCGAGCCCCCGCUGCGCACGGCGGGCGGGAGCGUGUAUAUAUGUACAUACUCAGUGCCUCAGCCCAGCUGCUCCAUCUCGCUUCCACCGCACAGGCCCGGGAAGGAGAAAGGCCAUGCCAAAGCGGGCCUCACCCCCCUACAUCGUGCUCCAGCCCUCCCUGCCAGGCCUCCUGGCCCCCUCCCCCCACCCGUGUGGUCCCUCCCCCAGAGCCCCAGGGGGCCAGCGGGCAGAAAGCAGGAGUUGGGUUUGCCUUAUUUUGCUCAUUGGAUUCAACUUCUCUUUUGCAUCAUUCUCCUCCGGCCCCGGUCAGAAUCCAGGGCCGGGGGAAAAGGACAGAUUUAUGCAGCUAUUUUCAUACAUUCCCUGUUCAGAGUGGGGUGGGGGUUCUCCGCCCUGCCUGUGACCACCUCAUGCCCCACCCUCAGGCUGGGUGAGUGUCUCUUUGCAUGUUUCCUUUGCUGUGGUGGGAGAUUGUUUGAGCCCCCACCCCCACCUUGGUCUCCAGGGGUGUGGAAUGGUGGGGGCAUUUGUUUAAAAAGACAUUUUAUUAUAAUAAAGUCUAUUUUCAUAAAAUCUA